UUUGGUGACGAUAGCAAAGAGGAUACACCUGUUCCCAUCCCGAACACAGUAGUUAAGCUCUUUAGCGCC
rnacentral:rRNA from 1 species